GGAGGAUCCGAGCGUUAUCCGGAUUUAUUGGGUUUAAAGGGUGCGUAGGCGGUCAGGUAAGUUAGAGGUGAAAGCUCGAUGCUCAACAUCGAAACUGCCUCUGAUACUGUCUGACUAGAGUGUAGUUGCGGAAGGCGGAAUGUGUGGUGUAGCGGUGAAAUGCUUAGAUAUCACACAGAACACCGAUUGCGAAGGCAGCUUUCCAAGCUAUUACUGACGCUGAGGCACGAAAGCAUGGGUAGCGAA
rnacentral:rRNA from 1 species